UACGAAGGGGGCUAGCGUUGUUCGGAAUUACUGGGCGUAAAGGGCGCGUAGGCGGCCUUCUAAGUCAGACGUGAAAUCCCCCGGCUUAACCUGGGAACUGCGUCUGAUACUGGGAGGCUCGAGUAUGGGAGAGGGAGGUAGAAUUCCAGGUGUAGCGGUGAAAUGCGUAGAUAUCUGGAGGAAUACCGGUGGCGAAGGCGGCAUCCUGGACCAUUACUGACGCUGAGGCGCGAAAGCUAGGGGAGCAAACGGG
rnacentral:rRNA from 1 species